UCUUUCGUACAUAUCAAAAAAAAUUUAUUCAUUGUCGACCAAAGGCGAGAAAUCUACUUCUCGAGUGAAGGCGAUAUCGAAGGCGAUUCGAAGGCGAUUCGAUCCAUCCCGAGAAGAAGGUUUAACCAAUCAUGGGAUAAGACUAUUCGUACACCCAGCCUUCUUCAUCAGAUGAGUUCGACAUGACGUCCCUUCUUGAAGCAGAGGCUGCUCUUUAUGCGGAUGAAGGACAUAGUAGUUUCUCUAUUGGCGAGCCGGUUCACAACCCACCUGAGGCUGAUGAUGGCAUCCCAACGAGAUGCUUCUGUGGCAGUGAGGCUGCUAUUGCAACAUCUUACACGCGAAAAGAUCCAGGGAGGUUGUACUACACGUGCGAGAAUAGAGAUGAUGGGGGCUGACACAUAUGGAAAUGGUGGGAUGUGGCAGUCACGGAGGAGGUGAGUGAGGUUCAGAGAGAACUCAGGCUGCUUAAGGAGCAAGGUUUCGAGUGUGAUCAGAAGCUGCUUAAGCUACAGAAGACCGUCUGUGAGCUCAAGAAGAAUUCAGAGUCUACAAAUGGCUAUGCAUUGGAAGUUUGUGUAAUGGUCUCCGUAUUAGUUUUUCUAGGUUUGGCGCUUAUGUUUGUCAGUGGUACGUAUCUCUCUUGAGUUUUUGUUUGUUCUUCAUGAUAUUUUGUAAAACUUAUGACAGUUUGAUCUCAUGUUUAUGCAGGAAGACACUACAACAAAUAUGGCUUUUCAUAGCAUACGGUUAACGCUAUUAUAUGGUUUUUAUAGCGGUUUUAUAAAUGCUAUUACAGUUGACGCUAUAAUAGGGUACCUAUAUACGAUAGCGUUUUGAAAUGAUGCUAUUGUAGAGUGACCUAUAAUAGCGUUACGGUUAUGCUGUAUUAAUGCAAUUUAUGACACAUUACUCAUGUUAUAGGAAAUUAUAUAACAGCUGUUCUCUAACGCUGUAUUAAUUAUAUUUAUAACACGUUAUUCGUGUUAUAGGAAAUUAUAUAACAACUGUUCUUUGUUGCUGUAUUAAACUUAAUAAUAACAUCUAAUUCGUGUUAUAUAUAAUUGUAUAAUAACAUUUUUUGCUGUUAUGUAUAUUUGUAAAAUAGCUAUAUUAUGUAGCCAUGAAUUACGUUGUAGUAGCUCUGCAUAGAUGCUAUUUGGUGAUGUGGUUUUGAUUUAUGUAUAUAUGAAUUGUAGCUUCUAUUUUGGAUACAGUUUCAGACAAUAAAUCCAUCAUAUGUUACAGCAAAUUCUCAUAAAAAAAUAAACAAAGUCUGAAUCCAUUUUCAUUUCUCCAUAAUAGAAAUACAAUAUCAUAAUUAAGUUUGAAAGAAAAAACACAAAUACCAUAGGUUCAUUAGUAAUACUAAAGGAAAGAAAGUAGAAGACCAUCCAGUUCUUAUUCCACCUCAAACGAUGACAACUUUAUCUUCAGGCCAUGCUACAGUAGUGCCGAUAGCAUCCUCCAUACACUCAAUUGCAGACGUUGGCCUCCAAACCUUGGCAUCAUUCACCUUCACUACAUCAACCCACACACGAACUGCAUUAUUGCCCAACGGAACGAAAUGGACUAACUGUUCAGGGUUGUUCGAAGACCAGCGUCCUUCUGCAACAACUACUUUUUCACCGGUAAUAUCCAACAGUUUGCACUUCUGACCCUCUUUCACAAUCUGUGUAAAAGAACGAUGUCAAAUAGUGUAAGUAAUAUGUAAGCAUUAGCAACUUUAUCAGGUCAACGAUCACUACCUACUAAUACACUUACACUUACCUUCUGAGAACUUGAAGGAGGUUGUGCAAAUGUUUUUGAAAUCUUAGCAGGAGCUGGUGGAGUGUGAACUUGUGAGUGCGUAUGAGGAGUAGCUGUAGUUAGUGACUCUGUGUCUGAAUUCUCAAAUAAAACUCUGCUCACUGGCCAUGCUACAAACGUCUUCAAACAGUCGCGAAGGUUUGAGUGUUUUUCUGUUGGCCGCCAAAGAAAUGUCUAUGUUACCGUUACCACAUCCACAAAUACUUUAACAGCAUUUGGUCCAAGAGGAAGGCCAUCCACCAAGGCUUCGGGAUCACGACUCUCCCAAUGACCUUCAGCAACUGUUUCUUCAUCAUCUGUUAGCCAAUGUAGCAGUUUGCACUUGUUCAUUUCUUUUGUCUCUGGGCUCUGACAAACAAACAAAUCCAUCAUAGGAAACACAUUAAUAGAUAUUAGAAAAAAAAACUUAAGAUCAAAAUGAGAUGAGUAAUGAAAACUUUACAUUACUUGGAAUGUCAUUUGGAGAGAACUCCUCGUCAAGAACUAGAACCGCAUCCUGAGGCCACGCUACUGUUUCUCCUACAGCCUGACCAAUAGUAUACAUUUUUGGCGCCGGUCUCCAAAGAAAUGCAUCUUUUUUCAAAAGCCGUCUCAACUACCACCUUAGCUGAAUUAGGGCCCAAGGGUACAUUGUUAACAAACUCCAUCACAUCAGAAGACAGAAAACGACCGUCUGCUACUUUGGAUUCAUUGUCACACCAAUUGUAUAGAAUACACUUAGGCUGUGGAAACCUUUUGUUUACACUCUACAAAUAUUAAUCAACUAAACUGUUAUAUUCCAUUCCGUUCAAGUUCAGCAAAAAAUACUUAAUCCAGAAGAACUUACUGAUGGUGGUGAAUUUUCACCAACUUCCGAGUCUGUCCGCUGCAAAUAGACAUAAAAAUUAGGUUAUCAUUUUGCAAAAAACAAUAUCCAAAGGACAGUUAAUCUUUAACACUUACUCGACUAUUCAUUUUUGCAAGGGCCUCUUGUAAUUCGUGGACCUGCUGCUUCAACUGAACUUGUGUCUGUUGCAUUUCAGUCAUUUGCUUAAGCCGAACAACGCAAGUUUGCUCACACUCAUUCCUCUACCCAUUGCCCUCAAGCGUCCAGGAUUGUCAGGUCCUAAGAGCUGACUAAGAGUGUCUUCUCUUGGGUUUGAGGAAGAUGCUCCUGGAUCAUCAGACAAAAUAAGCUCAUUGGCCUUUUCCUGAAACAUGUUGAAGUUAUGAUUAAACUGUUGUGUAGUUUAACGCUACUGUGAAUCUCAUAAUCAAAUAAGGUAAUGAAACAACAAAUUACUAUUUUUUCAGCAGCAUCCAUGUUUACUGCUGUCCCAUCCUUUUUAGUUCGUGACUUGACCCAUACAUUCAGUUUGGUUAUUUCACCAACAUCUGAGCUCUCUUUUUUCUGCAUUAUGAUUCAAGCUCUCUUAUUAAAAAUCAAUGUCAAAUAUAUCCAUAUUUUCAUACGAUUAAAGAUCAUUAGCAGUAAAAUACUUACUAAAUCUUAUGCCAGUCUAACCAUUCCUUUGCGGCUACAUGUAUGAGGAAUCUGCUUACGUCUUCUUUCCUUGUAUGCAUCGCUAACAGCCUAUAUAGAAGUGUUACAAUGCUGAAUUUGAAAAAUAAAACUAAGUACAAUUUCAUACCUUGAAUUCUUUAGUUGUCUUCUCUUUCACAAACUUCCUCCACUCAGCCACUGGAAUAUUGUUUGGACGCAACUUCAUUCGCUCUGCGUGGUUAUCAGCUUUAAUAAUCUGAUUAACCAAGCGUGAUUUAGAGGCCCUCCAUAAGCAUCCCAUCUGUUUCAUUACUGCCGCUUUCUCAAACUCUCUAUCCAGUUCGAACCGUAACUACAGUAACAAGAAAAAUUUAAGAGUAACAAGAAAAAAUAAAGACAAGCAUAAAUUACAAUGAGCAUUACUAGAAAUACCUUAACAGAUUUCCAGAGAACAGUCUUCCGUUCCUCACCAAUUUUUCUCCAAUCAUCUAUGAUGACAGGAACAUGUUCCCUUACCAAGGGACCUAAGUAAGAAGAAAGCUUAACUGAUCCUUCUCCACAAGGUUCUCCAAACUCGGUGAACUCCACUUUUAUUUGUGCAUUAGGAUCUCUCGCAAUAUCUUUCAUCUUCGUUGGUCCUCUGUGUUUCUUAGUCCGGGGCUGUACCAUAUCACUAUCCUCAUCACGAACUUUAGCACCUUGGGCCUCUUUGUUGGGUUCUUCUCCACAAGCCGUAGCAGCUUCAGAAUCUUUGUUUAGUUCUUCUCCACCAUCAUUAGCAGCUUCGGAAUCUAUGAUGGGUUCUUCUACACGAGCAUUAGAACCAUCGGCAUCUUGGUUGAGUUCUUCUCCACCGUCAUUAGCACCUCGUGGUUCAUCAAGCUGUGGCUGUGUCGGGUUCUCUUUGUAUAGAGGCAGUGACUCCUCAAUCCCAUGGUAGAGGGUGCCCAUGAAUUCAUGGUCAUCAACUCGUACUUGGGUCUUCCUUUUCCUGGGUUGCUUUCUCCCUUUACCGGCCAUGACAAUCCUACAAUAAAACUCAAGAGAAACUCAACAAUUAACUCAUACUCAAACCAACUCAAACAUGAAUCAUAAGUAGUUAAUCAAUGCAAUCAAUCAUUUAUUCCAUAAUCAACCAAAGAAUGUAAUGCAAACCCAAGAAUAGUUAAUCAACGAAAUCAAACAUAUAUUCCUUCACUAUCAUCUCUGACAUCAUCAGCUUUAUCUGAUAUGUCUUCUAGACUCAUAUCCAUAUCCGAAGGCAAUGGACAUACAUCUGCAUGUAGGUCAUCCACUUUCUCAUGACUGUAUCUUCUACUUGGACCCUUUAUUACUACAUACCAACUCGAUUCAUCAUUUUCCCUUGAGUAAAAUAUCUGUCUCGCCUGAGAUGCUAAAAUGAAUGGAUCCUUUCCAAAGGAUAUGUGGCUGUGAUUAAAAUUAACCAGCGUAAAGCCAUUCUCUACCUUCACACCGUUACCUUUAACUGCCCACUCACACCUGAAUAUUGGCACGUAGAAGGCAUUGUAAUCCAGUAGUAUAAUAUCAACUACUCUCCCAUAGUAGGAUACAACGUUUACCACCUGCGCUGUGUCCCUUGCACUUGAUCUACACAUUGAUGUUGCCUCAUAGUAAACCCCACUAUUCUGACUUAGCCUAUGCACUUGCUUCGUAUGAAACCGUAGGCCAUUCACAAUGUAGCCUGUGUAAGAUCAGGCUAUACUACGAGGACCAUAAGCCAGCCACUUCAGUGUCUCUUCCUCAUCAGCUGAAUCAAUAGGUUUCUAAAAUUUAUUAAAAUAAAAGUUUGUCAGCUAAACUACAUGGGUAUAAAAUCAAAUAAAAACAUUUACAGUACUAAGAGACAUGUUUCUUUAGCCACGCCGCGAAUUUUUCAGUGUGCAUACGCCAUAAAUACGUUGCAUCCCGUUGACAUCUACUAUUUGAGUCUUGUAAAUGUUGUAAAUGAGCACUUGCAUAUGAAAAAAAAAAACCUCAAAACUGGAAUCUAAUAUAAGUUUAAAUGAAAAAUAUUCUAAGUAAUAAGAGAAACUUACUCAACAUAUGGAUCCACCAUACCCGUGUUUUGUAUUACAGCAAGAUGAGCUAUUUUCAACUCUGUAUCAAAAAAUUGGAAUGAGCGGGCAGCUGAUAUAGGACGACCUUCAAGGAUGGAAAGUCUCUCGUACUCAGUGUUUCUGUCCUCUUUUUCUUCUACAUUUGUUGUAGUCUUCAAGAAAGCCGAGCAGAACUUCAUGCACUCGUCUGCAAGAUAAGACUCAGCUAUACACCCCUCUGGUCUUGCUGUGUUUCUUACAUAGUCUUUCAAUACUUUCAUGUACCUGUUUUAAGUGAAAAUAAAAUUUUAGUUAUAAGUCCAUUUGGAAGAUAAAUAAAUAUUUUUUUCACAAGAAAACAUACCUUUCAAAAGGAUACAUCCAUCGGAAAUGGACAGGACCACCAAGUCGAGCUUCUCUGCCUAGAUGCACACACAAGUGAACCAUGAUGUCGAAGAAACUAGGUGGCCAAAAUCUUUCAAAAAUGCAAACAGUCUCCACAAUUUCAGUUUCCAUUAGCUGGAGUUGUUCCAUAUCAAGUUCUCGUUGGCAUAGAAGGUUGAAGAAAGCGCAUAAGCGGAAAAUGGCUACCCUAGGACCCUUACGUAGUAAGCCCCUAAUUGCUACUGGAAGCAGUUGUUGCAUUAGGACGUGGUAAUCAUGAGAUUUGAGUCCCAUCACCUUACACUCCUCUAAUGAUAUACAACUAGAUAUAUUAGCACAGUAGCCAUCAGGACCUUUAAAAUCAAAGAGCCGCUUACAGAAUGUGUGUUUCUCUGACUUUGACAAAGACCAUGGAGCUGCUGGGAGUAAUGCCCUUUUACCCUGAGCUUUUGGAUGCAAAUCCUUCCUGAUACCAAGACUUUGAAGAUCCUUUCUAGCCUUUAGACCAUCCUUUGAAUUGCCACAAUGUAAUAAUGUGGCAAUCAAGCUUGCAGCCACAUUCCUCUCCACAUGCAUAACGUCUAGAUUAUGUCGAACAAGUAGCUCCUGCUCAUGUGAAAGCAAAUAAAGAAAUCAGUCAGAACAAGUGUUAUAGAAUUAAACAUCUUGUAAAUCGAAUUUUUAUACAUACCUCCCAAUAAGGCAAUGAGAAAAAAAUCGAACGUUUCUUCCAUCUAGACAAUUCCUCUUUGUCUUUCUCUCCUAUAUCUUCAUCUUCAUCAGAUUCACUUAGUUCCUCCUCGUUAUCAGAUGGUAUGUCAACUCGAGUAGCUCUCUUUUUCCCAGACUGUUUUCUAUUACCAAACACAUUAUUGUAAUUUCUCAGCACAAAUGAGACAUUCCUACCCGUCAGUAUCCUUCCCUUUGUCCCAUGUUCAGUUUUCCCAUCAAACCAAGUCUUCUUUCCUCUGAAACUAUGUAAGGGAGGCAAACAUUUCCGGUGGCCCAUAAAUACAAAUUUCCUACUAUUACUCAGCCACAAACUAUCUAUUACUCAGCCACAAACUAUCUGUGUGCUUCCCGCAUAUAGGACAACCCAUCUUACCCUUCACUUUACAACCAGCAAGAUUCUCAUAUGCGGGGAAAUCACUAAUAGUCCAAAGAAGCAUUGCCUUAAGCGUAAAGGUUGUCUUACUAACUGCAUCGUAUGUUAACUCGCCUAUGCACCACAUAUGUUUUAAAUCUUCUAUCAGAGGUUCUCAGUAUACAUCUAUACUAUUGCCCGGUUGAUGGGGUCCUGGAAUCAGCAGACUGAGCAUUAUGUUCUCCUCCUUCAUACAUAGGUCAGGAGCCAUGGUGUAAUUCACCAGUAACACAGGCCAACAACUGUAUUGGCUGUUCUUCAUACUGAAGGGAUUAAACCCAUCUGUUGAAAGCCCAAGUCGCAAGUUCCUCUCCUCCGCUGCGAACGCCGGAUACUUGUCAUUCAUUGACUGCCAAGUAGCAGAAUCUACUGGAUGGCGCACUUUCCCAUCUGUGCUCUUGUUAUUGAAAUGCCAUCGUAAAUCCAUUGCAAGUUGCUCCGAUCUGAACAUCCUUUUCAGGCGAGGUAAUACUGGAAAGUAUCUCAAAACCUUAUGUGGAACACCCUUCUUGAUUUCACCAGUAUGCAUGUCGGUCUUCCAUCUAGAUGCCUUGCAUUUUGGGCAAUUCUCAGCCGUCUUCAGCUUCUUUCUAAAUAAGCAGCAAUCGUUCACACAAGCAUGAAUUUUUUGAUAUCCCAUAUCAAAAGAUUUCAAAAACUUCUUGACAUCAUAAGUUGAUGUGUGCAGCACAUUGUCUUCAGGUAACAUGUUCGGAAAAGUUUGCAGUAAGUCAUCAAAGCUCUUGUCUGACCACCCAUUCUGAGACUUAAUCCUGAACAAUGAAACUACAGCUGAUAGCUUGCUAUGACUCGAACACGUUGGAUACUAGGGGAUUUCAGCCUCUGCAAGUUUUGCUAAAAACUCAUCUUCUUUCCUAUCCUCACCCUCAACUGACUCACGCAACUCUGACCCCCGAAUGGCUAAAUCCUCAUCUAAGCAGUUUGCGGCUGCAUAUAAACUAAGGAUCUCAGCAUUCCAGCAUCUAUCUUUAACUUCCACUACAUCAACUGAGUUGCCAUCUCCAUGGUGAAACCAAUCCGACCGUACCUUGUAAGCAUCAUCCAUUCCAUUUAUAACCAAUGAGAGACAACCUCCUCACUUGUUUGGCAAUCUAGAUUACGACAUCGGGCGCAUGGACAUACAAUCUUCCCAUUAACUCCUAACUUAGCAGUAGCAUCAUUGACAAAACUCCUCGCACCUCUCUCAUAUGCAGAAUCAACUCUUAAGUUCAUGUCAAACAAAAAAAAAAAAGUUAUGAUAAGAAUUGUCGAAAUGCAUAAACUGAACACUUAAACAAAUGUACAUACCUACAUAAAUGCACCCAUGACUUGUCAAACAUUGUUAAGACCCUUGCCACAGUUCAAACAAGCGUACAUGGUUCAAGCAGCAAUGACAAUAUAAAUUACACUUCAAAGUGUUAACCGCAAACAACAAACGCAAUGUCUACAAAGUCUACAAAUGAUUACAAAAUGAGAAUAAGUAAAUAGAUGUGUCUAACCUCCACAGAAUAUAGAAGAAGCAAGAUUGUGAAGACACGAACCCACACCUGCGAAAAAAAAACUGUGAUUAAUGGAAACAAAUAUGAACCCAAAACCUAACUAAUUAUCACAGCAUUGAGCAGCCAAAACCUAUCUACUUUCAGAACUUGAAUCAAUCGACAACAUCAAAACCUAACUAAUCACAGCAUUAAGGAUUCACUUUCAAUUUAGAAUAUCGGAUUUGAAAUCGGAGAUGAUGAUGGCUGAAUCGAAUUGGAGACUCGGUUAGGAUUAAUGGAAAAAAACUCUGAACCCAAAACCUAACUAAUUAUAACAGCAUUGAGCAGCCAAAACCUAUCUACUUUCAGAACUUGAAUCAAUCGACAAAAUCAAAACCUAACUAAUCACAGCAUUAAGGAUUCACUUUGAAUUCGGAGAUGAUGAUGGCUGAAUCGAAUUGGAGACUCGGUUAGGAUGAGCGAAGAGAUUAAUGUUGGUGAGCGACGAGGAAUCGAGUUGGAGAUGGUGGAGAGAGCGUUGAGCUCGAUGUGGAGAAGAAGAGAAGACGGAGAAAACGAGAACCCCUUUUCUUUUUUUUUUCUAAUGCUAUGAAAAGUAAAUUGAGAAAUGUUGGCCGCGAAAACCCCAUUUUUUUCUAAGUGUUGGGUGAUUAGUAAGUUUUUAAUCUCGUUUAACUGAUUUUUUGGCAUAGCAUAAGUAAAAUGCUAUAUAUUUCUUAUCCAGGCUUCUAAUUACCUUUCCAUAGCAGUUACGAAAAUUGUGAUAUUAUAAUCUGCUAUCAAUACCUAUAUUUGUUGUACUGAGAGCUUCAAAGAUGUAAACCAGAGUGUCGAGAAGCUCGAGUCUCUCUUUAGUUACGAUACCACAAUUGCCUAGUCUCUUUUCUUAUAACUAUAAACGUAUAGUAGUGUAUUUGUAUUUGUAUUUGUAUUUGUAUUUGUAUACCUCAUAAAUUGGUUCUAGUUAAGUAGAAGCUAGUUGUUUGGUUUCUCUGCAUUGGUGGUAAAUGCUAGAUAAUUAUUUAUUUAUUCCUAAGGAUUCCAAAUCGAGUAUCACCAUUGCACACACCUUUUAGACUAUGAUCCUUAACUAUUCAAAAAGAAAAAAAAAAUACUAUUCUAAUCCUAAGGACUCUUGAGGCAGUACUACCAUUGCACUUGCUCUAAGGUAAGUGGUCAAGGAGAAGACUGUUCUUGCAAUAUAUAAUAGGAAAUACCCAAAAAUAGUAUUAAAAAAGUUUUGAUCACAAAUACAUGGUGGUGGUGAUUGGUUAAUGCUGUAGAAACUGCACACAACAUUAUUAUAACUACAGCACCGAUUUGACAGCAUUCAGACUUUGUUAACUUUUUUGUUUCUACAGCACUGCUUUAAGUUUACGGUUGUGCAACAGCUCUAGAGAGCAAUAUAUCUACAGCCUAGUUUUAUGGGCUUUCAAAGUAUAUUUACAUUAGCUUUAUUCCAAUAUUAAUUUGUAAACAUUAAAACCCUAGUUCUUCGUAUCACUCAUCUGUGUUUUUUUUCUUUUCUGCUUUUAAAUUUGAUUUGACAAUUAAUAUCUUAUUGUUAUUCUUAUGGUUAUGUAUUUGUGUAUUAUGUCAAAUUUAUUUUUAUUAAAAAUUUUAAUUAGUCUAUUUUAUGGAAAAUUUUAAAUUAUCAUUUUAUUAAUUAAUAAGAAUUAGAAAUUCUAUAAAUCUUAUGAUGUAUUUAUUAAUAAAUAAUUAUACAUGUAUAUAAUAUAAUCUAUAGUUAAGUUAUACCAAUCAUAUUUUAAAAAAAAACUACAGGAAUAAAAUCUACAACUACAGCAAAAAAUCUACAGCAAUAAUCCUACAGUAAAAAAAAGUAAAGCUACAGCUUCUACCAAUCAACCCCUAUAGACUCUAAGAAUCAAAAUGACCAAAAUGUUUCAUUAAAGAGGUAAAUAUACAUUUAUAUCUUUAGAGUUAACUAAUCCAAACCUUAUGGUUUAAAGUUAAGAAAUGGGGAUUUGGGAUUGAGGUUUAAAAUUUUAUAAAAUUAAAAAUAAAUAUUAAAAAUUUUAAAAUAAAAAUUUUGAAAAUAGCUUCAAAAAUUAUUUUUGAAUUACAAAAAGAAAAUUUGAAACAAAAAUUAAAAAAAAUUCGAAAAUAAAAUUUUCAAAAAAAAAAGAUUAUAAAAAAGUUCGAAUUUGAAAACAUAUAAUUUAAAAUUAUAAAAAAAAAAUUUUUUUAUUUUUUUAUUUUUUUUUAUAUAUCUAGGGUAUUACGGUCUUUUUACCUAUUAAAUGAAACAUUUUGGUCACUUUUCUCCUUGUGGUAUACUUUUGUGACCAAAACUUGAAAAUGGUCUAUUUAUGAGAAUAUCCCAUAUAUAAUUGAUGUGAUCAGGUUUUAACGAGUAAAAUAAAAUUGCAGGUGGUAUGCAAUAGUACUUAGGGAUCAAAUCCAUAAAGACCAAGGUUACACUAUGAUUCUCCGAGAGUAGAAUUAAGGUAGGAUAAAAGGGUGUUUGUUUAUGUAACCAAAUUGCAGAGAAUGUAAAAGAGAGAAUGUGAAAUGAUGUAAGCUUAUGAAUAAAAACCGUCAGGUCUUGAGAAAUCUUAGGAAAUAUAGAUUGAAUGAUAUGAUUGUUUGAUAGGAAAUAUAUUAAGAACAGUUCUAGAACUCAAAUCUCUUAACUAUAUUAGUCUACUUAUGCAUUACUAAACCUUAUGUAUUAGAAUAUUAAAGAGUAACUUUUGUUGAAUUUCAGAUUCUAAACAUGCAAUAAAAAUAAGUUUGAUAGGUUCCUAGAACUCCUUAACAUCAACUUCCAUUGGUUAGGAAUAUUUCGAUCAUCUAAGUUCUUUCAGGCAUUUAAUCAAACACUUUCGGUGUAUUAGAAACCCUAUAAUCAGGAACUAGGUGAUCAAUCCAAUCCAAGCAUUAAGAACAACCUAGAUGAAAAAACUGCUAGGAUAUUCCAUAUUCUGACAAAUCAAAAUCAUCAUCAGUCUAUGAAUUUCAAUGAAACCCUAAACCUAACUCAUGAACUACAUAUACACAGCAGGAAACACAUAGAGAUGAUGAAUAAUGCAUAAUAAAAGUAAAAAACAAAAACAUGCUUCAUAAAUCUUCUCUAAAAGUUUUGUCUUCCCAAAUCUCCAAAACAAAAUAACUCUGAUGAAAAAAGAAAUUGUAGCUUAAACAGUGGUUGAAAAUAUUAGAUAUAGGUCUAUUUUUUCGUGUUGGACGAAAUUUGGGAUAAACCAAAUCGAAAAAAAGCCUAAGUUUUCUUUUUGUGCUCUUAUUGAACCAGUAGAUAGAGCAGUUUUCAGUAAAAUGUGCAUAACUUUUGAUCUUACCGAUAUAUUAACUUCAAACAUGCUGAAUUGCUAACUCAAUUCUUUAUCUAGUUUCUGAAGUUGAGAGAAAUCUAUUUGUGAGAAUCUUUCCAUCCUUUGCUAAACUUCUGACAUGUAUGCACAGUUCUGUAUCUUUUAAUGCUGCUUUACACCCAAUUCGAUAUCUUCUUCUCUAAAUAAACUUAUUAUCUGAAAAAAUAAAAAAUGACAAAAAUACUCAAAAAAACAUACGAGAUAAACGAAUCAAAAAGGUUAGAUAGCGACAAAAACAACGUUUAUUAACUCCCCCAAACUUAGACUUUUGUUUGUCUUAAAAAAAAAUCAAAGUAGAAGAAAAAGGUUUGAAAACAUAAGAACUCACAUAUCCUUCAGAACACCAUCUUACCAUUGCCAGUUUCAAGCCACAUAAAAAAAGCUCCAACCUAACAAGGUACUUUUAUGUACUCAACCCAACUCAUCAAUCUAACCAUUUUCAGCCCACAACUUAUAAGAGCUGUACAACUUCACCAUCACUGGCCUCAUUUAAGAGUUUAAGGUGCAGUCUCGUUGAGGAAGUAUCGAUCAUAGGACACAUGGACGCUUGUCCAUUCAGCUUUUUGUUCACAUAGACAAUCUUACUCUAGUUUAUUUCCUCUCUCUUUUUUUCACUUCUCUUAGUCGAUUUCUCCCUAUUUUGUAGGUCAUCGUUUUUUUUUUAUCGACGAAGUUUUUUGGACAUGCUUCCAUGAUACACCAGCAUUAACGAGGGUAACCACUAAGUGCCGUAUUCACUUGUUUUGACCUUUAUCCUUUUUAUUUUUUAUUGCAGUGAAGAGAGGGAAACCAUAAUCACACAGACUAGUCUUUUCAGACCUUAACGAGGAGUCCAAAACGAUGUAUAUAAAACCCCAAGACUAGAGAAUCAAGUAUAAGUGGGAGGUCAGCUUAAGGAUCCUUCAAACACCCAACAAGCAUAUUUGUUAUUGGCAAAUCAACCCACUUAGGUGUUUUCUAUAGUGUACAGUAUGCAGUCAAUAACUGAAAGAACGGUCACUGGAACAUCAAUUAGACAGUUAGUUCCAAAAACAAAAUUGUUCCCAACUAAAUUUUGACUAAAUAAACAGCAGACCCAAGACUCAAAGAUAAAAAAGACAAUAUGAACAAAAAAUCAAGAAGAAGGUAAUGAAAAGUAAGAAGAAAAAUUGUUUUUUUUUUAAAUAGUCGAACAAGAAUAGCGCUUCUGAUCCACCAAGAAUAUAACUUCUGAUAGACCAGUCUUUACAAUUCAACCUGAUUUCUUCUCCAUUCGCAUUUUUUCUUACGUCGUUGAGAUGCUGAAGGAUUAAGAUCGAUCGAUCUUUUGCGGAGAUCAACUGAUCUCUUGCACGAUCGAUAUUUGCGGAGAUUGACCAAUUUUUUUGUGGAGAUCGACGGGUCGUAUAUAAAAGAUCGAUCGAUCUAGAUUAGAUUUACCAAUGUGUGUGGUUUUACGCAGUAUCGAGCCCAUUCGUGUUUGCUUGUUGGGCGCAUAUCAACCAAAACAGUGCCAAGAUUGACUGAUCCCAUGUUUUUUAUCCGAAACAAAAGAAAACUAAACCCAUAAAUCAAAGAUAAAUUGAAACUAAAGAGAAACAUGUACAUUUGCCAGUGGGUUGCUGCCUCCCACCAAGGGAUUGUUUGAAAUCAUUAUCUUGAUUUCGGUAUGGAAAUCAACCUGGCUAAGAAGAGGGCCUUGCUCCAAAAUAAGUUUCAUAGUUUGGACAUGCUAAGCUCUAGAAUUCCACUCAGCAGAUCCUUCAUACCACUUUGUCCCUUCUCUUUGAACUAAGAACUAAGAAAAACUGUAAUCUUCGAAAAAGGCUUUGAGGUUCCUUUGCAUUUAACUUCGUACUCAACUGAAUCUUUAUCUUAUUUCAGUUGAACCAAAAUCAUAUGACCUACUUUGAUCCUUUGCUCUUCACAUUGACUUUGGCACUAGGUUUCUCACAGGACAAAGUUGAGAGUCUUCAUCAAAGACUUCCCUGACUUCUCUUUUUCCAUUAACCUCUUUUCGAAGAACAUCCAUAGUGACAAAAUCUUCAUGCCUUUGUGCUGUACUUGUGGGAAUCAUCUUGUAAAAAAACCUUCAUGUCUAUGUUUGCAAAUAACCCUCACUUGUUAUGGAGAUCAAUUAUUGAACCACUAUAGCCAUGAAUGGCCUCCCAAGAAUCAUUGAUACAAUAGACUCCUCAACCAUCUCCACAACAUGAAAAUCAACAUGCAACAUAUAAUUUUGGGAUUGUACCAUAUGGAGUUGUUGUGGAUGAGUUAGAAAAGGAAAGAGUCAUCUUGAGUGGCUGAAUCCUAUCGACUCUCAGCUUCUCUGCAAUUUCCUCUAACCUGACGUUCCCAUUAUAUCUAGAAUCACACAGAUGCUCCUUGAACGCAAAACCAGAUAUGGAGCAUUGAAAGACAAAUUUCUUAGGAUCUUCAACCUUAGGUAAUACUCUCAGUGGUGCUUGUCAGUCGACACCUCGGUAAAUAGAUCUUUAAUAUCCUCUUAAAUUUCUCUAAAGUUUUUAAAGAACAUAUGCAAUUGAUGAAUCUCCCUAAAAUCUUUAAAUGAGAUCUCUUUAGGAAGCAUUCUCAUCAUCUUGUUAAUGCAUAGUAGCUUCUCCGCACUAAUGUGGUCCUUCAAAUAUAGGUGGCAUUGGGUAUGGAACCUUAUGAACAUAUGGUGAUGGUUCCACAUAUGAAAAUUCAUCCUGUUAAAAUUUCUCCUGAUUUUCCUUUCCAGCUAAGAUUACAUUGCACUGCUCUUGAGGAUUAUUCUCACCCCUUCUUGGAGCAAUUAUGCGCAGCCUUUUUAUCGACUCAGUGUUUUGAGAUACAUGUGCAUCAAGCUUGUCGACAUGAUCUGAAAGAGACUCCAAUCUAUUUCAAGUCUUGAUACAUGGUGUCUACUUUCUGAUUGAUGAUGUCAAACUUUAUGCUCACAUCACUGUCUGCUUUUAUCUAUCAUUUGCUGGAUCAUCAUCUCAACCUUAAAUUCUUGAGCCAAUGGAACUGCGCUUACAAGAGACUGAAAGUGAGCUCUUUCUCCAAAAUACUCGCAUGAGUUGACAAAAUUUUUAAUCUCUCUAUAUCAGCAUGUCUAUCUUUGCAUUCAACUCUCAAUCUUUUAACCUCCACACUACGGACUUAUCUUGUUCUAUCGCAUUUCUGCAGUGAUCAAUAGAGCUAGAAGCAAGAUUUUUGAUCAGUGUGUAUGCUUCAUCUCCAGUCUCUAUCAUGAAAUAUCCAUUGCUAGCUGCAUUGAAAGGAUUCUUGACAUUCUAGUUGACUCCAUCAUAGAAGAUGUUGAGGAUGUGCUCCUUGGAGUGCCAUGAUGAGGGUAGUCCCUGUUAUACUCCUUGAACCUUUUCCAUGACCUCAUACAUAGGCUAAGAAGGGUUCUGCUGGAAAUUAAUGAUAUUACUCUUGAGGGUUGUUUUCUUGGAAUUUGUGUAGAAGCUUUCCAAGAAGAUCACUCUGCAGCCAUCUCAGUGCCUUGUCGCUUAGAGAGAAUGCAAAGUGAUGAUCUACGGCUCUAUAUCAUAGUCAUGCCCUGUAAUCGUAGGAAGCUGAAUCGUAGACCUAUUAUGGUAGAAGGCAUGCAGAGUAUCAUAGGAUCCGACAGAAUGAGGCUGAUGGUAUUGUCACACAGCAGCAGCGUUGAUGACGUUAUGCUCUUCUUUGUUGUCAUCCAUGUCUUUCUCAUGUAGCUGAAACACAAAAAGAAGAAGAGGAUAUGAAUACUGAAAAUUUCAUAGACUAAACUUUAGUCCUGGACUGGUAGGUAAUUCUAUUGGUCCCUGGAAACGGCAAUGUGAUCAGAUUUUAACCACUAAAUGGAAACUACAAGUGCACAACAGUGUGUUGUAGGACUUAGGGAUCAAAUUCACAGAGACCAAAGUUAAACUACUAUUACGCGAGGGUAGAAUUAACCUAGAACAAAAGGAUGUGUUUUAUGUAACCAAAUUGCAGAGAAUGUAAAAUAAUGCAAACUUAUGAAUAAAAAGAGUCAGGUCUUGGGAAGUCUCAGGAAACAUAGAUUAAAUGAUAUGAUGGUUUGACAUGGAAUGUAUUAAGAACCGUUCUAAAACUAAAAUCUCUUAACUAGACUAGCCUACUUCCACAGUACUAAACCUUAUGUAUAAGUUUCUAAAGACUAACUCCCGUUGAAUGUCAGAUUCUAGACAUACAAUAAGAACAAGUUUGAUAGGUUCACAAAACUCUCUAACAUCAACUUCCAUUAGUUAAUUUUUUUUUGAUCAUCUAAGUUUUUUCAGGCAUUUAAUCGAACUCUUUUGGUACAUUAAACAACCCAUAAAUCAGGAACUAUGUUAUCAAUCCAAUUCAAGUAUUAAGAACAACCUAGAUGAAGAAACCGAUAUGAUUCCCUAUUCUAACAAAUCACAAUCAUCAAUCUAUGAAUUAUAUUGAAACCCUAAACCUUGCUAAUGAAACUACACAUACAUAGAAGAAGAGAAACACGGAGAGAUGAUGAUAAGUGCAUAGUGCAAUUAGAAAUCAAAAAUAGGGUCGAAAAUCUUCUCCAAAGGUAAAGAUUUGUCUCCCCAAAUCUCUAUAACUAAUAAGUUGGAUGAAAAAGAAAUAUUAUUCUAAAACAUGGCUUAAAAUAGCAGAUAUAGGUCUACUUUUUCGUCGAAAUUUGGGUUAAGCCAAAUCGAAAAUAAGGAAAACCAAAAUUUCCUUUUUUUUCUCAUAAUGAAUAUGUAAACAGAGUGAUCAGUAAAAUGCGCAUAGAUAUUGAUCUAAUUGAUGUAUUGACCUCAAACUGGAAGAAUUGGAAAGCUAACUCAAUUAUUUAUCUUGUGUCCAAAUUUUAGAGAAAUCUAUUGAUGGGAAUUUUUUCAUCCGUUGUUAAACUUCUGAUGUAUGUGCACAUUUAUGCAUCUUGUAGUGUUCCUUUACACCCAAUUGGACACAUUCUAUUUUAAAUCGACCUAACACCUGAAAAUACUCGAUAAAGGACUAAAAGACUCAAAAAAUUAUAUUAUAGUUUAAUAAAUGACUCAAAACAAAGGUUUGAAACUGAUAAAAACAACGUUAUCAAUAAUGCAAUAGAAAGGGUUAUCAUACAAAAUAUCUAACAAACUGGAUCUAUAUGAAAUAAAAAAUAUACAGUUUCAAGAUGCAGAAGGGUAAGAGCAUGGAUGAAAAUUUGGAGGUUUUCGUAAAGCUAGUGUCUUAUUUAGCGAGUCUUGACAUCAAUAUAUCAGACUAAGAUAAAGCUAUCUACAUGAUGAACAAUUUAUGAAAGACAUAUGAACCACUGAUUCAUACACUAAAGUAUGGUAGCGAUAAAGGAUAUGAUCACUGUUCAGGAAGUGUAAUUUCAACAUCUUUCUCCAAAGAAGUGGAUUUGAAGGAAGCAUGAUAGCUAAAUAAGUCUAAGCGAAGGCUUAUAUGUGGCUACAUGGGAAAUUUUGAAAAGAGAAAGGAAAUCAACUAGAACAAAGGCAGACCAAAGAGUCGGUGAAGGUCUCCAAGUAGGCUCAAAGGUAGAGGUUUUUUCGUGGACAUUGAAAAGAGAUUGUCCAGAUCAAAUCAGAUAAAAACAGGAAGAUUACGCGAAUAUGGUAACAUAAAUUGAGGAGCCAUAGAUUUUUACCGCAAGUAUCCAUAAUUCUAAUGAUGAAUGAGUUUUGUACUCAGGUUGCACUUUGCAUAUAACUCCAAAUAAAGAAGUAUUCUUGGAUUUGAAUAGUUUAAGGAGGAAAAGUGGUUCUGGGUAACUAACACAUAUAGUAAGAUCAAAGGAAUAAGGAAGAUCAGGAUAUCAAACCAAGAUGGAUCUAUGGUGAUUAUAUCCUAAGUAAGGUACACAUACUAACUAUGAGUCAAAAAGAUUUCAUACGAACUUUUGGAUAAAGACGAGAAUGUUGGUUUGAAGGAAAACAAUGAAGGGUACAGUUCUACAAAGAGAUAAGAAGAUAAUUGACGGUAUAUAUAAUGAAGACUUAUACUAUUUAGAAGGAAUGAUUGCUAAUGUUGAAACACAUACGUCACUUGCAGUUAUGUCAUAUGAGCAUGAAAAGCAUGGACGUAGUUGUGAAAGAAGGAUACAUCACAUACAAAGAAGUGCAAAAACUUAAAUUUUGAGAAAGUUGUGUUUCAAGAAAAAGUAACAAACAUAGUUUUAUUACAAAUUAUUGCAUUUUCCAAAAUAGUUUUAUAUAACACUACAAGAAAACAAAAGAUUUACGAGGGUGGUUUUCCUCGUGAUUUCGUCGUAAAAGCAGUAUUACGAGGAAUUAGCGAGAAAAUCCGUUUCGUCGUUAUACGUUUGUCGUAACGCAUAUAUCGUCGCUAAUUCGUCGUAAGAUAGCGAGGAAAUGAUUUCGUCGUAAAAACGAAGAAUAAUAUUUCCUCUUAAAGACCACAGAAAGCUUCCACGUAAGGACGUCGCUAAAUUUCCUCGUAAAUACCUCGAAACGUGUUCCUCGUAAAACCCACGUAAAUAACUCGAAAGUAAAUACUCGUAAAGUAAACGUAAAUACCUUGAAAGUGAACUUUCCACGUCAUUUCCUUGUAAACUCUUCCUCGUAAAAACCUCGUCAAACUUUCCACGUAAAGAAGUCCCAAAAUUAGCUACGAAUUUACUUCGUUUCGUUAUUUUACAAAAAUAUAAAAAAUUAUAAUUAAAAAACUAAUUAAAAUUAUUUAAAUUAUUAAUAAAAUUAAAAUUCUAAAAA